CAGUAGUUUAAUACUGAUCAUAUGUGUAGAUGUGUGCUGAUUGGUCUGUUUAUGACGGGUCACAGGUGUGGUCUGGGUUCAUCUGUCAGCAAGGUGAUGAAGUUUAAGUUAAUGCUCCACUACUCUGAAAUUCUGGUGAUGAACCGACAGUUACCCGAUGUGCCACCUCAGUUCCUCGAUGAUCUCUUUCAGAUGGGUGGUGAUUUUGGUCUGGACCAGGGUGGUAAAGUGAUAUUUUCCUACCGGUGUAAAAGCCCUGUGGACAGACCAUCAGUUCCACAGAUUCUGGCUGCCGUCUCUGCUCAUUCUUAGCAUUCCUGGAGAAAAAGGUUGGCUCCACAGAUAGACAGCUCCCCCAGAGGUUGUAUGGAUGAAGAUCUGACUCAAACUCAUGCACUUAUGAAGAGUCAUUUCUGAUGGGCAUUUACACCCUCUGGUCAUCUGUUGAGUUAUAGUAGCACUAGUCUCGCGUAGCCAGACC